GGGGGUGUCAGUUUUGACACAAAGACAGCUUCGUAUGUGCAAGCGGAGCUCCAAGAACUCCUAAAACUCUUGGAAACUUUAAGUGUAGACUCAAUGGUCACACGGGCAAAGUCAGUAAUUUCUCCGUAUUUUACGGCGAAAGACUUUGAGUUCGCAUACGCUCGAGUUUAAUCUCGCGUAACGAACCGAUUAAGUAUCGGCUAUCCGGCAAAGAUACCUUAAUCGCUUAAUCUGUCGGAUUGUAGCCUCGAGAGUGCUCGCCUCGGGACCAAACUUAGAGCUUUGUCUUUUGGAUGUUUUGUCUGAUUUAUAGUCCGAGAGCCGAGAAUUAAAAUCAUUCUAAGCUUGUAGAUUCAUAUGUCGCAUCUUUAUGGACGCGGGCUCGCUCCCGCCACCUCCACCA
rnacentral:tmRNA from 1 species